rnacentral:rRNA from 1 species
CAGCAGCCGCGGUAAUACGUAGGGUGCAAGCGUUAAUCGGAAUUACUGGGCGUAAAGCGUGCGCAGGCGGUUAUAUAAGACAGAUGUGAAAUCCCCGGGCUCAACCUGGGAACUGCAUUUGUGACUGUAUAGCUAGAGUACGGCAGAGGGGGAUGGAAUUCCGCGUGUAGCAGUGAAAUGCUUAGAUAUGCGGAGGAACACCGAUGGCGAAGGCAAUCCCCUGGGCCUGUACUGACGCUCAUGCACGAAAGCGUGGGGAGCAAACAGGAUUAGAGACCCCCGUAGUCCCUGUCUCUUAUAC